rnacentral:lncRNA from 1 species
GGUCUCAAGCCGCCCUCCCACCUAAGCCUUCCAAAGUGCUGGCAUUACAGAAAAUGGUAAACAAGGGAAAGAAAGAGGAGUUCCAGACCGUGCAUACCAAAAUAUUACAGACACACAGGAAAUGACUCUUCAAAUCCAGGCUGUAAACCUGUCAUUUCGUGGGCUUGUCUGUGGGCCUAGAAAAGCGAGACAAAGAUCACACCGAAGACAUUACUG